rnacentral:rRNA from 1 species
GAGUAACGCGUGGGAAAUCUGCCGAGUAGCGGGGGACAACGUUUGGAAACGAACGCUAAUACCGCAUAACAAUGAGAAUCGCAUGAUUCUUAUUUGAAAGAAGCAAUUGCUUCACUACUUGAUGAUCCCGCGUUGUAUUAGCUAGUUGGUAGUGUAAAGGACUACCAAGGCGAUGAUACAUAGCCGACCUGAGAGGGUGAUCGGCCACACUGGGACUGAGACACGGCCCAGACUCCUACGGGAGGCAGCAGUAGGGAAUCUUCGGCAAUGGGGGCAACCCUGACCGAGCAACGCCGCGUGAGUGAAGAAGGUUUUCGGAUCGUAAAACUCUGUUGUUAGAGAAGAACGUUAAGUAGAGUGGAAAAUUACUUAAGUGACGGUAUCUAACCAGAAAGGGACGGCUAACUACGUGCCAGCAGCCGCGGUAAUACGUAGGUCCCAAGCGUUGUCCGGAUUUAUUGGGCGUAAAGCGAGCGCAGGUGGUUUCUUAAGUCUGAUGUAAAAGGCAGUGGCUCAACCAUUGUGUGCAUUGGAAACUGGGAGACUUGAGUGCAGGAGAGGAGAGUGGAAUUCCAUGUGUAGCGGUGAAAUGCGUAGAUAUAUGGAGGAACACCGGAGGCGAAAGCGGCUCUCUGGCCUGUAACUGACACUGAGGCUCGAAAGCGUGGGGAGCAAACAGGAUUAGAUA